CCUACGGGUGGCAGCAGUGAGGAAUAUUGGUCAAUGGGCGCGAGCCUGAACCAGCCAAGUCGCGUGAGGGAAGACGGUCCUAUGGAUUGUAAACCUCUUUUGUCGGGGAGCAAAAGACGCCACGCGUGGCGUUCCGAGAGUACCCGAAGAAAAAGCAUCGGCUAACUCCGUGCCAGCAGCCGCGGUAAUACGGAGGAUGCGAGCGUUAUCCGGAUUUAUUGGGUGUAAAGGGAGCGUAGACGGCUGUGCAAGUCUGAAGUGAAAGCCCGUGGCUCAACCGCGGAACUGCUUUGGAAACUGGAUAGCUGGAGUACUGGAGAGGCAGGCGGAAUUCCUAGUGUAGCGGUGAAAUGCGUAGAUAUUAGGAGGAACACCAGUGGCGAAGGCGGCCUGCUGGACAGAAACUGACGUUGAGGCUCGAAAGCGUGGGGAGCAAACAGGAUUAGAUACCCGAGUAGUC
rnacentral:rRNA from 1 species